rnacentral:rRNA from 1 species
GAUGAACGCUGGCGGCGUGCCUAAUACAUGCAAGUCGAGCGAACGGACGAGAAGCUUGCUUCUCUGAUGUUAGCGGCGGACGGGUGAGUAACACGUGGAUAACCUACCUAUAAGACUGGGAUAACUUCGGGAAACCGGAGCUAAUACCGGAUAAUAUUUUGAACCGCAUGGUUCAAAAGUGAAAGACGGUCUUGCUGUCACUUAUAGAUGGAUCCGCGCUGCAUUAGCUAGUUGGUAAGGUGACGGCUUACCAAGGCAACGAUACAUAGCCGACCUGAGAGGGUGAUCGGCCACACUGGAACUGAGACACGGUCCAGACUCCUACGGGAGGCAGCAGUAGGGAAUCUUCCGCAAUGGGCGAAAGCCUGACGGAGCAACGCCGCGUGAGUGAUGAAGGUCUUCGGAUCGUAAAACUCUGUUAUUAGGGAAGAACAUAUGUGUAAGUAACUGUGCACAUCUUGACGGUACCUAAUCAGAAAGCCACGGCUAACUACGUG